GGCGAGGUGGCGGGCGCCUGUAGUCCCAGCUACUCGGGAGAGAAUGGCGGGAACCCGGGAGGUGGAGCUUGCAGUGAGCUGAGAUCCGGCCACUGCACUCCAGCCUGGGCGACAGAGCGAGACUCCGUCUCAAAAAAAAAAAAAAAAAGAUUUUAGAUAAAAGUAAAUAUAUCCAGAAUCACAAACAGCAAGUGCACACU
rnacentral:lncRNA from 1 species